UACAGAGGUCUCAAGCGUUGUUCGGAUUCAUUGGGCGUAAAGGGUGCGUAGGUGGCGCUGUAAGUCGGGUGUGAAAUUUCGGAGCUUAACUCCGAAACUGCAUUCGAUACUGCGGUGCUUGAGGACUGGAGAGGAGACUGGAAUUCAUGGUGUAGCAGUGAAAUGCGUAGAGAACAUGAGGAAGACCAGUGGCGAAGGCGGGUCUCUGGACAGUUCCUGACACUGAGGCACGAAGGCCAGGGGAGCAAACGGG
rnacentral:rRNA from 1 species